rnacentral:rRNA from 1 species
AACAUUGAGCCUUGAUGUGUAGGAUAGGUGGGAGGCUUAGAAGUGUGGACGCCAGUCUGCAUGGAGCCGACCUUGAAAUACCACCCUUUAAUGUUUGAUGUUCUAACGUUGACCCGUAAUCCGGGUUGCGGACAGUGUCUGGUGGGUAGUUUGACUGGGGCGGUCUCCUCCUAAAGAGUAACGGAGGAGCACGAAGGUUGGCUAAUCCUGGUCGGACAUCAGGAGGUUAGUGCAAUGGCAUAAGCCAGCUUGACUGCGAGCGUGACGGCGCGAGCAGGUGCGAAAGCAGGUCAUAGUGAUCCGGUGGUUCUGAAUGGAAGGGCCAUCGCUCAACGGAUAAAAGGUACUCCGGGGAUAACAGGCUGAUACCGCCCAAGAGUUCAUAUCGACGGCGGUGUUUGGCACCUCGAUGUCGGCUCAUCACAUCCUGGGGCUGAAGUAGGUCCCAAGGGUAUGGCUGUUCGCCAUUUAAAGUGGUACGCGAGCUGGGUUUAGAACGUCGUGAGACAGUUCGGUCCCUAUCUGCCGUGGGCGCUGGAGAACUGAGGGGGGCUGCUCCUAGUACGAGAGGACCGGAGUGGACGCAUCACUGGUGUUCGGGUUGUCAUGCCAAUGGCACUGCCCGGUAGCUAAAUGCGGAAGAGAUAAGUGCUGAAAGCAUCUAAGCACGAAACUUGCCCCGAGAUGAGUUCUCCCUGACUCCUUGAGAGUCCUGAAGGAACGUUGAAGACGACGACGUUGAUAGGCCGGGUGUGUAAGCGCAGCGAUGCGUUGAGCUAACCGGUACUAAUGAACCGUGAGG